rnacentral:rRNA from 1 species
UACGGGGGGGGUAAGCGUUGUUCGGAAUUACUGGGCGUAAAGGGCUCGUAGGCGGCCAACUAAGUCAGACGUGAAAUCCCUCAGCUUAACUGGGGAACUGCGUCUGAUACUGGUUGGCUUGGAUUCGGGAGAGGAAUGCGGAAUUCCAGGUGUAGCGGUGAAAUGCGUAGAUAUCUGGAGGAACACCGGUGGCGAAGGCGGCAUUCUGGACCGAUAUUGACGCUGAGGAGCGAAAGCCAGGGGAGCAAACGGG